rnacentral:rRNA from 1 species
GUGGCUUUCGGAGCUAACGCGGUUAAAGUAGACCGCCUGGGGAGUACGGUCGCAAGAUUAAAACUCAAAUGAAUUGACGGGGGCCCGCACAAAGCGGUGGAGCAUGUGGUUUAAUUCGAUGCAACGCGAAGAACCUUACCUACUCUUGACAUCCAGAGAAGCCAGCGGAGACGCAGGUGUGCCUUCGGGAGCUCUGAGACAGGUGCUGCAUGGCUGUCGUCAGCUCGUGUUGUGAAAUGUUGGGUUAAGUCCCGCAACGAGCGCAACCCUUAUCCUUGUUUGCCAGCGAGUAAUGUCGGGAACUCCAGGGAGACUGCCGGUGAUAAACCGGAGGAAGGUGGGGACGACGUCAAGUCAUCAUGGCCCUUACGAGUAGGGCUACACACGUGCUACAAUGGCGCAUACAGAGGGCAGCCAACUURBGAAAGUGAGCGAAUCCCAAAAAGUGCGUCGUAGUCCGGAUUGGAGUCUGCAACUCGACUCCAUGAAGUCGGAAUCGCUAGUAAUCGUAGAUCAGAAUGCUACGGUGAAUACGUUCCCGGGCCUUGUACACACCGCMBGUCACACCAUGGGAGUGGGCUGCAAAAGAAGUGGGUAGUUUAACCUU